rnacentral:rRNA from 1 species
GUGGGGAAUAUUCCGCAAUGGGCGAAAGCCUGACGGAGCAACGCCGCGUGAGUGAUGACGGCCUUCGGGUUGUAAAGCUCUGUUAUAUGGGACGAACGGGCAUGGGGCGAAUACCCUCAUGCAGUGACGGUACCGUAAGAGAAAGCCACGGCUAACUACGUGCCAGCAGCCGCGGUAAUACGUAGGUGGCAAGCGUUGUCCGGAAUUAGUGGGCGUAACGGGCGUGUAGGCGGCCAGACAAGUCUGUCUUAAAAGUGCGGGGCUCAACCCCGUGAUGGGAUGGAAACUGUCGGGCUAGAGUGUCGGAGAGGAAAGCGGAAUUCCUAGUGUAGCGGUGAAAUGCGUAGAUAUUAGGAGGAACACCAGUGGCGAAAGCGGCUUUCUGGACGACAACUGACGCUGAGGCGCGAAAGCCAGGGGAGCAAACGGGAUUAGAAACCCCUGUAGUCC